AUGCUGACAGUUGUUCCAUGUCUCCCAGAACCACUGCCUGCUCCAGAAAUCGUGGGCAACUCCUCUGUGAAAGCAGGAGGCAACACUAAACUGGUCUGCAACAUCUCAGAAGGGAAGGCAGACUCCUACUGGUGGAAGAAGAAUGGGGAGCUGCUGCUUGGGAGUGACCAUUUCCAGUUUGUUCAUAACAACACGUUGCAUAUCAUUGAAGCGACAAUGAACGACAGCGGCUACUAUGCUUGUGUGGUCCGCAACAAAGUGAGCCAGAAUGAAACCUCCUUCCUGCUUCAUGUUCAGAACGCGGCAAACAUGGUCUUACCUGUGGUGAUGGCAUGCGUUAUCGUUGGCUCUCUAAUAGGUGUUUUCGUCUGGUGUAGGAGGAGGGGCCGCUUCCGUCACCGUGUCUGUAGGUGGAGGGCCUGAGUGACUGCGCCUUGCUCCCUUCCUCUCACGUAGGUGRUGGAGGCUACCCAGGGAGCACUGGACACCUGCCAUCAUGCACAGCGGUCUGAUGCUGUCCCAGUCUCUUCUGGGCUCGCUCAUUAAUUGUUCAAGCUGCUAAAACCCACAGAUACUUGCAGGACUUGUUUUACAAACAACACUGGCUUGGACUCCAUCUGCAUUGUCCUGUCCUUCCCAAGGCUUCUUGCACCUCUUUGGGGGAGAG
rnacentral:lncRNA from 1 species